rnacentral:rRNA from 1 species
CCUACGGGAGGCAGCAGUGGGGAAUAUUGCACAAUGGGCGCAAGCCUGAUGCAGCCAUGCCGCGUGUGUGAAGAAGGCCUUCGGGUUGUAAAGCACUUUCAGCGGGGAGGAAGGCGUUAAGGUUAAUAACCUUGUCGAUUGACGUUACCCGCAGAAGAAGCACCGGCUAACUCCGUGCCAGCAGCCGCGGUAAUACGGAGGGUGCAAGCGAUAAUCGGAAUUACUGGGCGUAAAGCGCACGCAGGCGGUCUGUCAAGUCGGAUGUGAAAUCCCCGGGCUCAACCUGGGAACUGCAUUCGAAACUGGCAGGCUAGAGUCUUGUAGAGGGGGGUAGAAUUCCAGGUGUAGCGGUGAAAUGCGUAGAGAUCUGGAGGAAUACCGGUGGCGAAGGCGGCCCCCUGGACAAAGACUGACGCUCAGGUGCGAAAGCGUGGGGAGCAAACAGGAUUAGAUACCCUAGUAGUC